GCGGAAGUAGCUCAGUUGGUAGAGCACAACCUUGCCAAGGUUGGGGUCGCGGGUUCGAGUCCCGUCUUCCGCUCUU
rnacentral:tRNA from 1 species